AGGCGGAAAGUCUAGCUUUUAGCAGUUUAGGCUUUUCGUAAGCAUAUAAAAUUUUUGAACAGCGAGAUCAAACGUAUGUACGAACCGUUCAACUUAAUUUUUUUUGAAUGAGAUAAAUUAUGAUCAUCAUCGGCACUAAAGCUGAACAUAAGGACUAGUAACAGUACUUGUUUAUUACUUGAAAAGUUGUUGCCAUACUAAUUAUUAUUAUUAUUUAUUAUGUAGCACCAAGUCUAAAGUUACUGGAUUAGUACUCUACACCUGCAAUACAAGGUGUUUGUGUGCUGACAAAUAGGAAUUAAAUCAUCUUACUCUAAUUCCAGGUACUCUACACCUGCAAUACAAGGUGUUUGUGUGCUGACAAAUAGGAAUUAAAUCAUCUUACUCUAAUUCCAGGUACUCUACACCUGCAAUACAAGGUGUUUGUGUGCUGACAAAUAGGA
rnacentral:misc_RNA from 1 species